GAGUCACUUGUGUGUCAGGACAUUGCUGCACAAAAUGCCAGUUUGAUCUUGCAGGAAAGUUGUGUAGAGAUAUCGGUGAUGAGUGUGAUCUGCCAGAAUAUUGCAGCGGCGCGUCACAUCUGUGCCCAGAGGACGUGUUUAGACAAGACGGAAGUGCGUGUGGGAAAAGUGACAUCUGCUUCCAAGGGAAAUGCAAUAACCAUGACAGACAGUGCAAAGCUAUAUUUGGUGAAGGCAAGAUAUCUUAAUCUUUUCCUUCAACCACUUUUUUUCACAAUUCAUACGCUUUCUUGUGUGGAAUUAGUAACCUCCCAUUGCCAGGGUGCAUGGCGCUCAUGCAUGAGCCCACUCCUGCUGGAAGCCAGGUCCAGAAAUGAUGGGCAGAAGCUUUCUAAUUUCCAGUCAAAGUAUAUUCCUGGUUCAUUGAUACCUGUGUGCUCUUCUGCCAACAUGAUAUUUUGGCUUAAAAACCUCCGAUUCCUUGCUGUUUAUCCCCCUCCGUCUUUGUAGCAUAAGCCAACGUGUUUUCCCGUUAAGACAGUUCCGGACGAACCUGUCACGCAGGUGAUGUACGGGGCGGUUAUCUUCCACCUUGCAGUGAACUCUCUGCUCCGUCUUGACCUGUACAGGCGCCCGCCGCGCUCCAGAGAGUUGCUUCAGAGAAGUGAAUCUGCGAGGUGACCGGUGCGGUAACUGUGGUUGGGAUGGACUGGCGUACAAGAAAUGUGCUGAAAAGGAUAUUUUGUGUGGAAGAGUGCAGUGUGUUAAUGUUAAAAGCAUACCAGUAAAGGCAGAUGAGGAGACUACAGUCCAGACUCCCAUUAAUAAUACCAUUUGUUGGGGUAUAGACUUCCAUGUCGGGCCAGAUGUUCCUGAUGUGGGAUCGGUGAAAGACGGCACCCUGUGUGAUAAAGACCAGAUGUGUAUAAACAGAACCUGUGUCAGCACAAAUAUUCUGGAGUAUUACUGCCGUGAUGAGAAAUGCAACGGCCAAGGGAUUUGCAACAGCAACGGAAACUGCCACUGCGACUUUGGAUGGGCCCCCCCAUACUGUACAGAGAAAGGAUCUGGAGGAAGCCUUGACAGUGGCCCUCCUCCGUCUACCU